rnacentral:rRNA from 1 species
CGGACGGGUGAGUAACGCGUGAGAAUCUGCCCUCAGGAGGGGGAUAACGGCUGGAAACGGCCGCUAAUACCCCAUAUGCCGAGAGGUGAAACGAAUUUCGCCUGAGGAUGAGCCCGCGUCUGAUUAGCUAGUUGGUGGGGUAAGAGCCUACCAAGGCGACGAUCAGUAGCUGGUCUGAGAGGAUGAUCAGCCACACUGGGACUGAGACACGGCCCAGACUCCUACGGGAGGCAGCAGUGGGGAAUUUUCCGCAAUGGGCGAAAGCCUGACGGAGCAACGCCGCGUGAGGGACGAAGGCCUCUGGGCUGUAAACCUCUUUUCUCAAGGAAGAAGAUCUGACGGUACUUGAGGAAUAAGCCACGGCUAAUUCCGUGCCAGCAGCCGCGGUAAUACGGGAGUGGCAAGCGUUAUCCGGAAUUAUUGGGCGUAAAGCGUCCGCAGGCGGCUUUGUAAGUCUGCUGUCAAAGCGUGGAGCUUAACUCCAUUUCGGCAGUGGAAACUACGAGGCUUGAGUGUGGUAGGGGCAGAGGGAAUUCCUAGUGUAGCGGUGAAAUGCGUAGAUAUUAGGAAGAACACCAAUGGCGAAAGCACUCUACUGGGCCAUAACUGACACUGAGAGACGACAGCUAGGGGAGCAAAUGGGAUUAGAUACCCCAGUAGUC